rnacentral:tRNA from 1 species
AAAAAAUUAGUUAAAACUAUAACAUUAGUAUGUCAAACUAAAAUUAUUAUAUUUAUAAUAUUUUUUG